CCUGCCCCUAGAGGAAUUGUAGGUGUGACUGUUGUAUCAUAUGUGUAGGUGGCAGAGAAGAGAGGCUAUGUCUCUUCAAUCACUGUUCUGACCUAUGAACAUCUGAAUGAUUAGUAGCCUAACACU
ensembl:snoRNA LOC120094918 small nucleolar RNA SNORA17